rnacentral:rRNA from 1 species
CUUGAAACACGGACCAAGGAGUUUAUCGUGUACGCGAGUCAUUGGGUAAAGAAAACCCAAAGGCGAAAUGAAAGUAAAUAGUGGGAAAUUGAUUUUAUUUCUAUAUUAUCAGUUUCCCCUAUAAGGGAAGAUGGAAAACUAUAUCAGUAAUGGUGUGAUAAUAUCAUAUUGUUGUUGAUACAAGUUUCCCGCACUCCCGGGGCGCUUGUUUCUCGCUUUGCGAGUCACUGCGCACCUAGAGCGUACACGAUGAUACCCGAAAGAUGGUGAACUAUGCCUGGCCAGGACGAAGCCAGGGGAAACCCUGGUGGAGGUCCGCAGCGAUUCUGACGUGCAAAUCGAUCGUCGGAGCUGGGUAUAGGGGCGAAAGACCAAUCGAACCAUCUAGUAGCUGGUUCCCUCUGAAGUUUCCCUCAGGAUA